rnacentral:tRNA from 1 species
GGAGAAAUACCCAAGCCUGGUUGAAGGGAUCGGUCUUGAAAACCGACAGGGGAUGAAAGUCCCGCGGGGGUUCGAAUCCCUCUUUCUCCGCCA